GCUCAAGCCGUACGCAAGCGCAGAGGGGAGAGGCGCUUCGGCGCCAUCUUGGUGGCGAUUUUUGCUGUUUGAGGUUCUGUCGAAGAGGUAGCGAGCGCGCGGAGGAUGAGGUGGGUCAGGAAAUUCUCGGCUUUUAGCUGCUCGUCGUCGCGCUGCCUGCUGUUUUACCAUCCAGGACGCAAGGAUACUGCCUAAAAUCUUCCUCAGCAGAGUUCAUCGACAAGGUUCAGUUCCUAUGAUCUGUUUGUAACCUGAGCAGUUCGCAAGUCAGAAAUGUGGCCACAAACCAUCUUCCCACAUGGAAGAAGGUGCUUGCAGUCCUGCACCAAUCAGCAAAUCCAUUCUGGCAGUCCCCCAAACACUUGUUCAUACUGCAUGACCGCCUUGGUUCUUCUAGCAUUUCUUUAUUUGUCCCAAUUCUUGUAAUUGGUCGUCAUUGUUUAACCCUUGGUCAGGUUCAUCUGGCUAAUUUGUAUUGAGAUGAUGUCCAGAAAUACAUAGUAUUUUCCAUGAUUAACUACUUUUGUAAAACUGAUUCUUAACCGUGGAUCUCUGGAUAUUAGACCCAACAUACAUUUAAUUAGCCUUUUAGAUGUUUUUGUAUCUCUGUUAAAUCCAUGUGCAUAGAUAUGUGCCUAUAAUUUUGCAACAUUUAGAAAGCAUUCAGUUCUAUUAUUUUGUGGAACAAACUGAAGUAAAAUGCCAUUUGCUUGCAUUGAAUUGAAUUUGCAAGUUAUUCAUAACUGUUUAAUUUAUUAAAAUCUUCCCUUCCACAGAUUUGGUUGCUACAUAUGCUCCCUAUUAUUAUAUCAUCAGCAAAACUUGGUUUUCAUUACACAGUGUCUAUUUUUCCCUUCCUCCAUUCACUGAAGGACACCAUUAUUCAUAUGCCAAUUAAAUUGGCUGUCCAUUAUUCCGACUAGCAAAUUUCCUAAUCAGGGCAUGGAUUUCCCUUCAACUUUCAAGCUUUUACUUCAGCAACAGUGUCUCUUACAAGUGACUUUAUCAUAUUGCCUUCUGGAAGUCCAUAUAAAUGACAUUUGUAGAUAUUAACAUAUGAAGGGUAAGAUGAGGGAACACAAACAAUCCCCAUAGAAAGAUCAGAAGUGGAGAGUGUGAACAAUUUCAAGUUCCUGUUUGUCAAUAUCUCUGAGGACCGCACCUGGACAACAUUUUGCUUCAGCUAUAAAGAAGGCAAGAAAGCUAUACUUCAUUAGGAAUUUGAGAUUUGGUUUGUCAACUAAAAUACUCAAACUGAGACAAAUGUAUCAUGGGGAGCAUUCUGACUGGCUGCGUCACCAUCUGGUGUAGAGGGACUACUGCACAAGAUUGAAAUAAGGAGCAGAAAUUUGUAAAAUUAGUCAGCUCCAUCAUAGGUACUAGCCUCCGUAGUAUCCGAGACAUCGUCAAGGAACAGUGCCUUAGGAAAGUAGUGCCCAUCAUUAAGGAUCCCCUCCACUCAAGACAUGCUCUCUUCAUAAUGGUACCAUCGGGAAGGAGGUACAGAAGCCUGAAGGCACACCCUCAGCAAUUCAGAAAUAGCUUCUUCCCCUCUGCCAUCUGAUUUCUAAAUGGACAUUGAACCCAUGAACACGACCUCACUACCUUUUUAUUUGUUUUUUUGCACUACUUAUUUUAACUUAGCUAUUUAAUAGACAUCUAUUAAUGUAACAUUUUUUCCUCAUUUAUUUUAUUAUACUGCUGCUGUAAAGUUAAAAAUUCCCCAACAUAUGCUGUAUGAUCAGAAUCAGAUUUAAUAUCACUGGCAUAAGAAUAGGCCCUUUGGUCCACAAUGUUGUGACCAAAGUUCUAUCCAGUAAUUUUAUCACCCUUCUAAGAAAGUUCAAUCCAUGCUGCCUUGGCAACUUUUCAUGCUGUUGAAUGAACUUACCCUUAAUUAUAGACGUAAGUAAUUUCUCUCUAAUAAAUGUUAGGUAAAAUUGUGGUAACAUACUGGUUUCCCUUACUUGCCUGCCUUAAAUAGAGUGAUUUUACUGAACUAAAACAAUGAUUCGCAAUUCAGGAGAAUUUUGGAAGUUUAUUAGUGUAUCUAGUUUCAUUUAAAACUCUGGGAAACUAUUUGAUCCUGGUAAUUAAUUAAAGCAAUUCAUUAUUUUCUUUAUACUGUUGCAUUUCUUGCAUAUCUUUAUUUUUGCAAGUCAUCAUUCUAAUUCAGUAUUCCUUUUAAUCUGACACUGUCCUGUCUGCUUAUCUUACAACAUGUCUCCUGAACACACUUCCCCUGCCUCAUUUCCUUAUUUUCACUUUCAUUACAGGAAGCCCAGGGUGAAUAUAACCUAUUGUUUCUUUAAAAUUGUAUUACUUUUGAUAAUCUUUUCAAACUUUUUGUACUCCAUUUGGUAUAACCAAUUUCCCCCGGGAUCAAUAAAGUAUGACUUGUUUUGUAAUAUGGCUUUCAGCAGGUUCACUGCUAUCUUCGGCAUUUUCUUUUUGUAUUUUCCUUUACUUGUAUCUGGGGGAGGGGUACUGCUUUUAGGGAAGUAGAAGUUGUACCUAUUGGUGGUAUAAACUUUCUGAUUUUCAUUAAAUUCCCUUCUGCGUAUCUCCCAUAGCCUUAAUUACUUUAUCAGCUUGCUUUUUUUUUGUCUCUCCCUUUCAAACGUGACAUUCACGUCAUGUAAUCACCUUCGGUUAAAUGUGAUUGCAUCUUUAGGUUAAUUAUAGAGCUCGUUUAUUGGCUUAUCAAAUUGGACAUGGCAUGCUAUUCUUUUGAUUAUGGAAUAUGUACAAAAAUAUCAUGUACAUACUUGGGGAAAUGCUCCGUGCUGACAAGUCAACUUUUCACAAUCUGUGUGAAAGUUAAAAUUCAAAGUUAAAGUCUGCCUUUCAAAAAUAUUUUUGUUUCCUUAUGUCCAUUCUGCCCCUCAAGUCUCAGCUGGCUCUUAAAAACCUACCAUCUUGCACACUUACAUCUGAAACUUAAUCCAUUUUAUUUCUUUUACUCUAUGCACUUGUAAAAAUAAAACUCCAUUUCCUCAUUUUCCACAAGUAUAGAUACCCAUUUCUCAUGUGGUAAAGUAGCUCUUUUAAACACUUCUUUAUGCCUUGUCUGUCAGACUAAUUUUAGCAUUCUGCUACUUUGAGUAAUAAAUGCAUUUAACAGUCCUGGAGGUCUUGUGUUUUUUUUUAAAUGUUGCCUUAGCUUAGGAAAACCUUCAUCUGAGAAUUAGUGAAUUAGUGCUUACUUCUUCCCAUAUUGAUCCUAAUG